rnacentral:rRNA from 1 species
UGGGGAAUAUUGCACAAUGGGGGGAACCCUGAUGCAGCGACGCCGCGUGAGUGAAGAAGUAUUUCGGUAUGUAAAGCUCUGUCAGCAGGGAAGAAGAAAGACGGUACCUGACCAGGAAGCCCCGGCUAACUACGUGCCAGCAGCCGCGGUAAUACGUAGGGGGCAAGCGUUAUCCGGAUUUACUGGGUGUAAAGGGAGCGUAGACGGCAGGGCAAGUCUGGAGUGAAAGGCAGGGGCCCAACCCCUGGACUGCUCUGGAAACUGUCCGGCUGGAGUGCAGGAGAGGUAAGUGGAAUUCCUAGUGUAGCGGUGAAAUGCGUAGAUAUUAGGAGGAACACCAGUGGCGAAGGCGGCUUACUGGACUGUAACUGACGUUGAGGCUCGAAAGCGUGGGGAGCAAACA